GAGCCGGAAGCAGAAUGAUAAAGACAAAAUAAGAAAAGGGUUUCAGACAGUAAGUAAGUCCAGGAUGGAAGGUUGGGAAGGAGGAUAAGUAAAGAGAACAAACUUGUCAGUUAUACGUGGUGGACAGCGUAUAAGACGGCGACGAAAGUGCAAAUGAGAACGGAACCAAGCCUUGGGGAUGCUGGUUUGAUCGCGUGAAUGAGAGUGGCCGGCAUAGAAGCUCAUCAGGGUGGAAUAUUAUUACGGUAGAGGUUAUGUUAUACAGAAACGUGACUGCAUGCGCGACCGUAGAGCCGGUGUAAAUACGUAUAUGGGUUGUAUAUGCGUACGCAUAUAUAGAUACAUUAAAUCCAUGGUUAUACCAUGCGAUUCUCUCAGGUAAUAUAAUCCCUACAACGCAGCGGGUAAUAAACUUAUUUAGAUACA